GUUUGGUACACAGUGGAGCGUGGCAGCGGCUCCUCCCCCUCCGACCUGAAUGAAGACCAACGAGAGUCACUUCUUGGCUGUGGUGUUAAACUAAACUGCGAAACUGGAACAACAGUACACACGGUUUUCCUCGAUGUUUUGGGCUAGGAGCUGAGGUGCAACACCGACAUGAAGGCCGCCUUUAUCAAGCGCUCCGUUGACGAGCUGUUCAGCUGCAGCUAAGUCAGCUAACGCGCUCAGUCACAAGUUGGUGAUUAACGCUGGCUAGCUAUUUUGCGACGAUUUAGCGCUAACGCUAACUAGCAGGGCUCGUUGAUAUUCGACGCCAGUUUCAAAUUAAAGGCUGCGUGACCGACAGCUGUCAUCUCGAUUACAAGAAGACAGCUGACUCGACUGAAGCCUUUUUUUAAAUAAAUACUUUUAAAAAGAUUGGGUCUAAUGUUUGGUUGAUGCCUAAUUAAUUAGACUCGGUGACAUUAAGUUAAAUAAACUGUCGUCGGGGCUGUGACGUGUUUAAACUAAUCCGUACAGCCGUAAAUAAGAUUGUUUGUGUGACAAGAUCUCAUUUGGGUUUAAAUGUCAGAAAAGAGUUCAUCGUCCGGUUCGGAUGAGGAUGUGGAUCCAGAGUCCGGACAGCCUGAGGAGCUGGGAGGUGUUUUAAGUAAGUGGACGAACUACAUACACGGAUGGCAGGACCGAUGGGUUGUGUUAAAAAACAACACACUGAGCUAUUACAAGUCGGAGGAUGAGCGGGAGUAUGGCUGCAGGG